GUAAACGGCGGCCGUAACUAUAACGGUCCUAAGGUAGCGAAAUUCCUUGUCGGGUAAGUUCCGACCUGCACGAAAGGCGCAACGACUUGGGCGCUGUCUCGACCAUGGACCCGGUGAAAUUGCACUGGUCGUGAAGAUGCGACUUACCCGCGGAAGGACGGAAAGACCCCGUGAACCUUCACUGCAGCUUGGCAUUGGCCGCUGGUCCCGCGUGUAGAGGAUAGGCAGGAGGCAUCGAUCCGGAGGCGCCAGCCCCCGGGGAGCCGCCCUUGGAAUACUGCCCUCGCGCGACCGGCGUCCUAACCCGAGGCCGUCAACCGGCUCGGGGACCGUGCCAGGCGGGCAGUUUGACUGGGGCGGUCGCCUCCUAAAGGGUAACGGAGGCGCGCGAAGGUCCGCUCGGGACGGUCGGCAACCGUCCUUUUGAAUGCAAGAGUACAAGCGGGCUUGACUGCGAGGCCCACAAGCCGAGCAGGUGCGAAAGCAGGCUCUAGUGAUCCGGCGGCCCCGAGUGGGUGGGCCGUCGCUCAACGGAUAAAAGGUACUCCGGGGAUAACAGGCUGAUCUUGCCCAAGAGUCCACAUCGACGGCAAGGUUUGGCACCUCGAUGUCGGCUCAUCGCAUCCUGGGGCUGGAGCAGGUCCCAAGGGUACGGCUGUUCGCCGUUUAAAGCGGUACGCGAGCUGGGUUCAGAACGUCGUGAGACAGUUCGGUCCCUAUCCUCCGUGGGCGCAGGAGAAUCGAUGGAGGCUGCCCCCAGUACGAGAGGACCGGGGUGGACGCACCUCCGGUGAACCGGUUGUCGACCAACGGCACGGCCGGGUAGCCGCGUGCGGCGCGGAUAACCGCUGAAGGCAUCUAAGCGGGAAGCCGUUCCAGGGAUUAGUUCUCCUUCCGGUAAGGGCCCAGGUAGACUACCUGGUCGAUAGACGGCAGGUGCAAGGACGGCGACGUCCUCAGCCGAGCCGCACUAAUCGCCCGAGCUCUUCCGGAA
rnacentral:rRNA from 1 species